AGUUCUCGUGAAUGCAGGACCAGUCCCUGAUAUCACUAGACUCCCAAAAACUUCACUUCAGGUCAAGCACAGAGUGGCACACCAGACUUGGAGUUUUAGUGAUCCAGCACCCCCAAACCAUGGAAAACUAUCUGCAGCAACAAUGGGAUUCGGAAAGCAGCUUUGGCUCGUCGAAAGACUCCGACACGGAUCAAUACUCAGAUUGUAGUGGUGGAGGACGACGCACUACCUUCCUUAACUGAGC